GUGCUCUUAGGAAGGGAUUGGAUACACGGAAGUCGAUGUAUACCCUCGUCGCUCCAUCAAUGUUUAAUUUUUUGGAAUGACAAAGGCGAAGCAGAAGUGGUGCAGGCCGAUCAUAGGCCUUUCGUCGCAGAAGCCAACUCAGUGGAAAAGUUUAUGUACGAAGGAAACUAUGGACCUGUCAGAGUGGUACAAGACGGGGAAGAAACUCAUGUAGUCGC
rnacentral:lncRNA from 1 species